GACGAACGCUGGCGGCGUGCUUAACACAUGCAAGUCGAGCGGUAAGGCCCUUUCGGGGGUACGACGAGCGGCGAACGGGUGAGUAACACGUGGGUGACCUGCCCUCAGCUCUGGGAGUAAGCCUGGGAAACCGGGUCUAAUACCGGAUAUGACUCCAUGACGCAUGUUGUGGGGUGGAAAGCCUUGUGCGGCUGAGGGUGGGCCCGCGGCCUAUCAGCUUGUUGGGUGGGGUGAUGGCCACCAAGGCGACGACGGGUAGCCGGCCUGAGAGGGCGACCGGCCACACUGGGGACGUGAGACACGGCCCACGACUCCUACGGGAGGGCAGCAGUGGGGAAGUCUUGCGCAAUGGGCGAAAGCCUGACGCAGCGACGCCGCGUGAGGGAUGACGGCCUGUGU
rnacentral:rRNA from 1 species